UGGGGAAUAUUGCACAAUGGGCGCAAGCCUGAUGCAGCCAUGCCGCGUGUGUGAAGAAGGCCUCGGUUGUAAAGCACUUCAGCGAGGAGGAAGGUGGUGAACUUAAUACGUUCAUCAAUUGACGUUACUCGCAGAAGAAGCACCGGCUAACUCCGUGCCAGCAGCCGCGGUAAUACGGAGGGUGCAAGCGUUAAUCGGAAUUACUGGGCGUAAAAGCGCACGCAGGCGGUUUGUUAAGUCAGAUGUGAAAUCCCCGGCUCAACUGGGAACUGCAAUUGAAACUGGACAAGCUUAGAAGUCUGCGAUAGAGGGGGGUAGAAUUCCAGGUGGGUAGCAGGUGCAAAUGCGUAGAGAUCGUGGAAGGAAUACCGGUGGCGAAGGCGG
rnacentral:rRNA from 1 species